rnacentral:rRNA from 1 species
UUACAAUUACCAUGAGCAAAUCAGAGUGUUUAAAGCAGGCUCAAUGGCUUGAAUGUGUUAGCAUGGAAUAAUGAAAUAUGGCUUGGGUCCUUAUUUCGUUGGUUUAUACGACCUUUGCAAUGAUAAAUAGGAACGGUGGGGGGAUUUGUUUGG